UUAGUUUGAUCCUGGCUCAGGAUGAACGCUGGCGGCGUGCUUAACACAUGCAAGUCGAACGAUGAAGCGGUGCUUGCACCGUGGAUUAGUGGCGAACGGGUGAGUAACACGUGAGUAACCUGCCCUUGACUCUGGGAUAAGCCUGGGAAACUGGGUCUAAUACCGGAUAUGACUGCUCCACGCAUGUGGUGGUGGUGGAAAGCUUUUGCGGUUUUGGAUGGACUCGCGGCCUAUCAGCUUGUUGGUGGGGUAAUGGCCUACCAAGGCGACGACGGGUAGCCGGCCUGAGAGGGUGACCGGCCACACUGGGACUGAGACACGGCCCAGACUCCUACGGGAGGCAGCAGUGGGGAAUAUUGACACAAUGGGCGCAAGCCUGAUGCAGCGACGCCGCGUGAGGGAUGACGGCCUUCGGGUUGUAAACCUCUUUCAGUAGGGACAAGCGUAAGUGACGGUACCUGCAGAAGAAGCGCCGGCUAACUACGUGCCAGCAGCCGCGGUAAUACGUAGGGCGCAAGCGUUAUCCGGAAUUAUUGGGCGUAAAGAGCUCGUAGGCGGUUUGUCGCGUCUGCUGUGAAAGACCGGGGCUCAACUCCGGUUCUGCAGUGGGUACGGGCAGACUAGAGUGAUGUAGGGGAGACUGGAAUUCUGGUGUAGCGGUGAAAUGCGCAGAUAUCAGGAGGAACACCGAUGGCGAAGGCAGGUCUCUGGGCAUUAACUGACGCUGAGGAGCGAAAGCAUGGGGAGCGAACAGGAUUAGAUACCCUGGUAGUCCAUGCCGUAAACGUUGGGCACUAGGUGUGGGGGACAUUCCACGUUUUCCGCGCCGUAGCUAACGCAUUAAGUGCCCCGCCUGGGGAGUA
rnacentral:rRNA from 1 species